UACGAAGGGGGCUAGCGUUGCUCGGAAUCACUGGGCGUAAAGGGCGCGUAGGCGGCCUGUUAAGUCGAACGUGAAAUCCCCGGGCUCAACCCGGGAACUGCGUCCGAUACUGGCAGGCUUGAAUCCGGGAGAGGGAUGCGGAAUUCCAGGUGUAGCGGUGAAAUGCGUAGAUAUCUGGAGGAACACCGGUGGCGAAGGCGGCAUCCUGGACCGGCAUUGACGCUG
rnacentral:rRNA from 1 species